rnacentral:rRNA from 1 species
CCAGACUCCUACGGGAGGCAGCAGUGGGGGAUAUUGCACAAUGGGCGCAAGCCUGAUGCAGCGACGCCGCGUGAGCGAAGAAGUAUUUCGGUAUGUAAAGCUCUAUCAGCAGGGAAGAAAAUGACGGUACCUGACUAAGAAGCUCCGGCUAAAUACGUGCCAGCAGCCGCGGUAAUACGUAUGGAGCAAGCGUUAUCCGGAAUUACUGGGUGUAAAGGGAGCGUAGGCGGCAAGGCAAGUCUGAUGUGAAAACCCAGGGCCCAACCCUGGGACUGCAUUGGAAACUGUAUUGCUUGAGUACCGGAGAGGCAGGCGGAAUUCCUAGUGUAGCGGUGAAAUGCGUAGAUAUUAGGAGGAACACCAGUGGCGAAGGCGGCCUGCUGGACGGUAACUGACGCUGAGGCUCGAAAGCGUGGGGAGCAAACAGGAUUAGAUACCCCAGUA